rnacentral:rRNA from 1 species
GAUGAACGCUGACAGAAUGCUUAACACAUGCAAGUCUACUUGAUUCUCCUUCGGGAGAUGAAGGUGGCGGACGGGUGAGUAACGCGUAAACAAUCUGCCCUUCAGUCUGGGAUAUCAGUUGGAAACGACUGUUAAUACCGGAUAUUAUGAGAUUCUCGCAUGGGAAACUCAUGAAAGCUAUAUGCGCUGGAGGAGGAGUUUGCGUUCCAUUAGCUAGUUGGUGAGGUAACGGCCCACCAAGGCGACGAUGGAUAGCCGGCCUGAGAGGGUGAACGGCCACAAGGGGACUGAGACACGGCCCUUACUCCUACGGGAGGCAGCAGUGGGGAAUAUUGGACAAUGGGCCACGAGCCUGAUCCAGCAAUUUUGUGUGCACGAUGAAGGUCUUCGGAUUGUAAAGUGCUUUCAGUUGGGA